rnacentral:rRNA from 1 species
UAGUAUAGGAUAGCCACUAGAAAUGGUGGGUAAUACUGUAUAAUCCCUGCGGGGGAAAGAUUUAUCGCUAUUAGAUGAGCCUAUGUCAGAUUAGCUAGUUGGUGGGGUAAUGGCCCACCAAGGCUGUGAUCUGUAGCUGGUCUGAGAGGAUGAUCAGCCACACUGGAACUGAGACACGGUCCAGACUCCUACGGGAGGCAGCAGUGGGGAAUAUUGGACAAUGGGCGCAAGCCUGAUCCAGCUAUGCCGCGUGAGUGAGGAAGGCCUUAGGGUUGUAAAACUCUUUCAGUAGGGAAGAUAAUGACGGUACCUACAGAAGAAGUCCCGGCAAACUCCGUGCCAGCAGCCGCGGUAAUACGGAGGGGGCAAGCGUUGUUCGGAAUUAUUGGGCGUAAAGGGCAUGUAGGCGGUUUGGUAAGUUAAAGGUGAAAUACCAGGGCUUAACCCUGGGGCUGCUUUUA